UUCGUGCGCGGUAAGAAGCUGCGCGGCAGCGCAGUGAGGUACUUCUGAUGAAAUUAUGACCAGGUGGGCCCGAGUUAGUACCACAUGUAACAAGAGACCCUUGCCUGCAACAUCAUGGGAGGACAUGAAGAAGGGGUCCUUUGAGGGAACAAGCCAAAACCUACCAAAGCGUAAACAACGUGAAGCCAAUAGGCUAUCCCUCAAAAAUGAUGCACCCCAAGCAAAACAUAAAAAGAACAAAAAGAAAAAGGAGUACUUAAAUGAAGAUGUGAAUGGAUUCAUAGAAUACCUAAGACAGAAUUCACAGAUGGUUCACAAUGGGCAAAUUGUAGCAACAGACAGUGAGGAAGUAAGGGAAGAAAUUGCAGUUGUUUUAAAGAAAGACAGUCGACGGGAAGGAAGAUUAAAAAGACAGGCGGCAAAGAAAAAUUCAAUGGUGUGUUUCCAUUGUAGAAAACCUGGUCAAGGAACUGCAGAUUGCCCUGCUGCCCUUGAAAAUCAAGACAUGGGCAAUGGGAUAUGUUACAGGUGUGGGUCCACAGAGCACGAAAUAACCAAAUGUAAGGCUAAGGUAGACCCGGCUCUUGGCGAAUUUCCUUUUGCAAAAUGUUUUGUUUGUGGAGAAAUGGGGCAGCUGUCUAGAUCUUGUCCGGAUAAUCCCGAAGGACUCUAUGCUGAUGGUGGCAGCUGCAAGCUUUGUGACUCUUUGUGGAACAUUUAAAGAAAGAUUGCCCUGAAAGGCAGAAUUCAGAGCGAAUGGUCACAGUUGGUCGCUGGGCAAAGUGAAUGAGUGCAGACUAUGAAGAAAUUUUGGAUGCACCUAAACCGCAAAAACCCAAAACAAAAAUACCUAAAGUUGUUAAUUUUUGA